GUCCAGACUCCUACGGGAGGCAGCAGUAGGGAAUCUUUCACAAUGGGCGAAAGCCUGAUGGAGCAACGCCGCGUGCAGGAUGAAGGCCUUCGGGUUGUAAACUGCUUUUAUAAGCGAGAAAUAUGAUGGUAACUUAUGAAUAAGGAUCGGCUAACUACGUGCCAGCAGCCGCGGUAAUACGUAGGGGGCAAGCGUUAUCCGGAUUUACUGGGUGUAAAGGGAGCGUAGACGGCAUAGCAAGUCUGAAGUGAAAGCCCGUGGCUCAACCGCGGAACUGCUUUGGAAACUGUUAAGCUGGAGUACUGGAGAGGCAAGCGGAAUUCCUAGUGUAGCGGUGAAAUGCGUAGAUAUUAGGAGGAACACCGGUGGCGAAGGCGGCCUGCUGGACGACGACUGACGCUGAGGCUCGAAAGCGUGGGGAGCAAACAGGAUUAGAUACCCGAGUAGA
rnacentral:rRNA from 1 species